GGGGUCAGUCAGUUGUAUUAAUCUUGAUGCAAGAGAAGAGAUUCAAAGAUGAUAAGAGUGAAGUACUAUGAGAUCUGAAUGUUUUCGUCAGGUUGUACAUAAGUUGUAGUUUUCACAUUGACCGCAGUCCCGUCGUUUGACAGGAAGAACGGUUUAACUCUCUUGACAAGAAAUGGAAUGCCAGACGAAGAAAUCAUUGGUUUAGAAAAAUCGAACAAUGUUAAAUGUAUCAAGAAGAAAUUAGGUAAAAUCUUCAAAGAAAACAAAGAAUUGAAAGAAGACAUAAACAAACGGAAGUUGGCAUCCGUGACAGAUUUUUGUGCCAGUAAUAUAUCUGUGGAUCUUAAUCCAUCCCCAAGGAAAAAACUCUGUACAGAAAAUAAAACAGACAAAUAUGAUGGGAAAAGGAAAGGUCAGAUGAAUGAGGAAAACACGGAGUACAAGGAAUGAGAAAAAGUUUUAUGCUUUUGGAAACAGGACCAGAAGUGGUAUGAAGCUGAUAUCAUAGAGAAAAGGAGUAAAGGAUACUUUGUAAAACUUGUACUCGAUGGAGUAGAGAGAGUUCUAAAGCAAAAGGACAGAAAAAAGAAGAAGACUGGAAAAAGAUGAUACUUUUGCAGUCAAAAUCCAUAUAAAAUGUUAAUUAAAAAAUGUGUAUAUAUU